CAUAGCCGCAGUGUCUCAUGGACCUGUGGACAUUUGAAGCCUGUUCCGUGAGAACUCGUGUUCAGCCGUGUAUCUCUUGCACCCCGAAGCUACUUGAAACCCCUUCCCUCUCAUCCAAUCAGAGAGAUAGGAACACACCUCCUCUCUUCUUAUGGUGGACAAAGCUGUUUGCAAAAAUCAGUGCUAUAACAUCGCUUCUAAGCAUUUAGGACAGCGAUCCCUCCUUUGCCUGUUAUCAGUUCUACAGUCAUUUGUUUAACAGGCUUUAGCCCUUAUAGGGAGAAGAAUGACAGCAUUAAAUUGCCUUUGGAAGUUGUGACAGGGCAUGAAAACAUCCAGCUCUCUGCAAGCACAGUCCAGCUGCAUGCAGAUGCAUGUGCGUACACAGGUGGUAUGCCUGUGAACACAAUUCAAAGCUUGUGAAGUCACUUCAUCUUUUUGGAAUUUCAGUUUUAUCAUCUGUCAACAGAGUUUGAGGUUCAAGAAUACAGUUCCCACAAAG